rnacentral:rRNA from 1 species
UACCAGCUCUCCGAGUGGUGUGGAUGUUUAUUGGGCCUAAAGCAUCCGUAGCUGGCUGGGCAAGUCCCCUGUUAAAUCCACCGAUUCAAUCGUUGGAGUGCGGGGAUACUGCUCGGCUAGGGGACGGGAGAGGCCGACGGUAUUUUCGGGGUAGGGGUGAAAUCCUAUAAUCCCGGAAAGACCACCAGUGGCGAAGGCUGUCGGCUAGAACGCGCCCGACGGUGAGGGAUGAAAGCUGGGGGAGCGAACCGGAUUAGAUACCCGGGUAGUCCCAGCUGUAAACGAUGCAGGCUAGGUGUUUGGGCGGCCACGUGCCGCUCUAGUGCCGCAGGGAAGUCGUUAAGCCUGCCGCCUGGGGAGUACGGCCGCAAGGCUGAAACUUAAAGGAAUUGGCGGGGGAGCACCACAAGGGGUGAAGCUUGCGGUUU